CACCCUGCGGGAGGCAGCAGUGGGGAAUAUUGGACAAUGGGCGCAAGCCUGAUCCAGCCAUGCCGCGUGAGUGAUGAAGGCCCUAGGGUUGUAAAGCUCUUUCACCGGUGAAGAUAAUGACGGUAACCGGAGAAGAAGCCCCGGCUAACUUCGUGCCAGCAGCCGCGGUAAUACGAAGGGGGCUAGCGUUGUUCGGAUUUACUGGGCGUAAAGCGCACGUAGGCGGACUAUUAAGUCAGGGGUGAAAUCCCGGGGCUCAACCCCGGAACUGCCUUUGAUACUGGUAGUCUUGAGUUCGAGAGAGGUGAGUGGAAUUCCGAGUGUAGAGGUGAAAUUCGUAGAUAUUCGGAGGAACACCAGUGGCGAAGGCGGCUCACUGGCUCGAUACUGACGCUGAGGUGCGAAAGCGUGGGGAGCAAACAGGAUUAGAAACCCGAGUAGUCCCA
rnacentral:rRNA from 1 species